CCCUCUCAGAUAUCCCUUCACUACAUCUAGUGUUUACUAAAUGAACUCUAAUUCAGAGGAAACAGCCAUUUGGGAGUGAAAACAAAGAGGAUGAAGAUAUCAGAGAUGGGGAAGAGGAAGCUGGACUUCUUUCAUGGUGCAACCUGAGGCAUUCCACACGGAACCAAGACAAAGAAUAUCAAAACAGUGAUUGAGGCACCUGUGAUACACUGGACUAAAUUUCCUAUAGAAAUUGUCAUCUAUUUUGUCACUUCUAGAAGUAAUACUGGAUAUAACACCUUCUGUUUGAACACAUAGUGAUGGGCAUUUUUUACUCCUGGUAACAGACAACAAGAUUCUAGUGAGAUGUCUACAAAUGACACUUUUUCUAAGUGUAUGAUUGUGUUGUAGCCACCAUUAAUUGUCUCCUUAUAUACAUUUAUUUCUUUAUGUGUUGUCUAUUUUUGUCUCUUCUGACCAUUCUGUUAUUUGUCAUUCUGAAUUGAGAAUUUGUAUUAAAACUAAUAAGCAAUUGA